AAAAGCCCACAUCUUCAUUCCUUUCAGUGCUGUGCUGUCUCUGGUAGAUGUAUAUGCAGAAUAACAUUUAAAAAAAUGCUUAGGUAAUAGCAGAAACUGUUUUGUCUUUGCUUUAGUUCUGUACAUGUAAAGUGGUGAAUUCUCUGACUUUUCUCACAGAAACAGACCUUCUUAGCCUUUCAAGGAUAAAUGAGAGUUCAAUGGGUGCCUUCCUUUAGAAACCACUCUUUUGUGAUCUGUUCUUUUGAGUGUCUCUCUUCUGGGGACAAACAGGCUAGGGAAUUCCCUAGGGGAAUAUAAAACUGAUUUUAGAAACAAGUUAUUUAAGUGUUCAAAGGAAUAGAGAAAAGCUGAAUUAAAUGCAUUAAAUUGUUAUCGUGUCACAAUGAGUUGUUGCUCUUCACAGAAAGCUAAGCAAGAUACUGAAAAGUUCUUUGAAGAAACAGAAUGAACAUAAACAGGUCAAGGUCUUGCAUUCCCUCUGAAGAAAAAAAUGUUUCUUCUCCAAGUUUAUCAGCACUCAUUUGGAGUUAGAACAGCCUGGAGUGGUGCCCUGGAACUGAUUUCUGAUGUACCGGAACCGUGUCCCUGGCUGGCAACUGAAGCAGUUUUCUGUGGACUGAGUGCCUGACUUUCUCAUUGUCUUUUGUUCAUACUGGCUUUUUCCUCUUCCUAAAAUAACUUGAUCCUGCGAACGAACCAUUCAGCAGCCUGGAACUUGAAACUCAAGCUGAAAAAAGGUGGGCACCAUCACUUCAUACUAGUGGAAUAACUGUCCUGAAUUUAAUGGGGUUAAAGUGGUAUAAAAUUGUUAAUGAGAGUAGAAUGCAGUUUUAAACAUACCAAGUUGAGUGCAUUUUAAGUGGUUGUCUUAAAAUGUUUAAGCAAAUGCCUUUUUACUAUGCAGUUGCAUGACAAAACUUUGACAUGUUAAGGCUAGGUAGAAAAAUAUGUUGUAUUUUCUAUAAAUACUGUUUUAUACAUAAGCUAUAUAUUUGUGAAAUCAUACCAAGUUAAUAGAGGGAUUCCUCAAUUUUAUUACAUGCUGGAAAUAUUGUUCUAAAAAUGCUUGAAGUGAUUGAAACAACUGAUGUACAGACAUAUGGGAAAGAAGAAAGGUGCAGAUAAAGGUAAUAAUGUCUUUAGAUUGCUAUGCUUAAAAGUAGCAUGCUGCCAAGUAGGUUAAAUAGCACCAU
rnacentral:lncRNA from 1 species